rnacentral:misc_RNA from 1 species
UCCGGUUUGUCACCGGCAGUCCCCUUAGAGUUCCCACCAUUACGUGCUGGCAAAUAAGGGCAAGGGUUGCGCUCGUUGCGGGACUUAACCCAACAUCUCACGACACGAGCUGACGACAGCCAUGCAGCACCUGUCUCAUGGUUCCUUGCGGCACUCCCAUAUCUCUACAGGAUUCCAUGGAUGUCAAGACCAGGUAAGGUUCUUCGCGUUGCAUCGAAUUAAACCACAUACUCCACCGCUUGUGCGGGCCCCCGUCAAUUCCUUUGAGUUUCACGCUUGCGCGCAUACUCCCCAGGCGGAUCACUUCACGCGUUAGCUUCGACACUAAGAGGCUGAUUCCUCCCAACGUCCAGUGAUCAUCGUUUAGGGCGUGGACUAC